UGCUACGGCCAUACCACCCUGAACGUGCCCGAUCUCGUCUGAUCUCAGAAGCUAAGCAGGGUCGGGCCUGGUUAGUACUUGGAUGGGAAGGGGUUUUUAUUCC
rnacentral:rRNA from 1 species